CACGUAGUUGGCCGGUGCUUCUUCUGCAGGUACCGUCACUUGCGCUUCGUCCCUGCUGAAAGAGGUUUACAACCCGAAGGCCGUCAUCCCUCACGCGGCGUUGCUGGAUCAGGCUUUCGCCCAUUGUCCAAUAUUCCCCACUGCUGCCCCCCGUAGGAGUCUGGGCCGUGUCUCAGUCCCAGUGUGGCCGGUCACCCUCUCAGGCCGGCUACCCGUCGAAGCCUUGGUAGGCCGUUACCCCACCAACAAGCUGAUAGGCCGCGAGCUCAUCCAUCACCGCCGGAACUUUCCACCACCAUCAGAUGCCUGAAGUGGUCGUAUUCGGUAUUAGCACCGGUUUCCCGGAGUUAUCCCGAAGUGAUGGGCAGAUUGCUCACGUGUUACUCACCCGUUCGCCGCUCGUGUACCCCGAAGGGCCUUACCGCUCGACUUGCAUGUGUUAAGCACGCCGCCAGCGUUCGUCCUCGUAGCCACGGAUCGAAACUACUCUGAGACGUCGCCGAAGACACACGACGGG
rnacentral:rRNA from 1 species